GUGGCCAUGCUUAGGAAAUUCCUUGAAGUGUUUAAUCAAUCAAGCAAAUUGAGCUUGACUCAGGGCUAUAGACAAAAACUAAAAGAAGCCCUUUGUAGAUAUGUAUAUGAAUACAUCAAUGUAUUUGUCUUCUCUAUCAGUGCUUGAUAACUGGUGUUGGUGUGUUUACAUCCCCGUAAAUUAGCAGUUUGGCAAAAGAGACCAAUGGAAUAGGUACCAAACUUUAAAAAAAACAAUAAGUCCUGGGGUUGAUUUGUUCGACUAAAACCCUUCAAGGUGGUGCUCCAGCAUGGCCAGUCAGAUGACUGAAACAAGUAAAAGAAUAAAAGAAUAUAUUUGUGUGCAUGCCAGUACCGCCUGACUGACCUUCGUGCGGGUGACACGUAAAAGCACCCACUACACUCUCUGAGUGGUUGGCGUUAGGAAGGGCAUCCAGCUGUAGAAACUCUGCCAAAUCAGACUGGAGCCUGGUGUUGCCAUCCGGUUUCACCAGUCCUCAGUCAAAUCGUCCAACCCAUGCUAGCAUGGAAAGCGGACGUUAAACGAUGAUGAUGAUGAUAAUGAUGAUGAUGAUGAUGAUAUGAUGAUUUGUGUGCAUAGAAAACAGUCUCACUCUCUCUUUCUCUUCCUCUUGUAUUUUAUCCAGUCUCUUGGACAAACAUUUUUCCAGCAAGAAUUAACCAUUGAUGAAAGCAUAAAGGAACAGUUUAGUAUGUAUUGGAAACGUUUCAAGAAAACUCCUUCCAAUGCCAAGAAUCGACCCCACAAAAACAGGACGUGAUAGAACAACAUUCUCGCCUCCAGUAUCUCCGCUGGCAUCAUUUUAUAUCACACUUCUUCUUCUUAUUAUUAUUAUUCAUAUACACUCAGACUAUCGGAAAAGAAAAAGAUCCUAACAUCAGGCAACAACAAGUAACCUUAGACGCCAAGGACCCUCCUCAGUAUCCUAGCUGUCCCUAAUAACACUGUCUUCUUCAGGUGUACUAAACUGGGUUUCAUGCCUAUUUCCUCUAUCCAUUCAAUCAGAUCUUUAGGGAUAGUUCCCAAUGCACCUAUAACAACUGGGAUAAUAUUAUUAUUAUUAUUAUCAUUAGUUUAUAUAAAGGACUGAUAACUCAUUAGAAAUGUAAUAGAUAGAAAGAUGAGUUCUUACCUUUUGUAUACGAUUGCCAAUGGAUUACGUCAGCUAUGUUUACCUUAGUGAUGGAAUUUGGUAAUCGUAUACAAAAGUUAAGAACUCAUCUAUCUAUCUAUCUAUCUAUUAUUAUUAUUAUUAGGGUUUAAGUAAGGGCAUUGGAUAAAAGCAUCCUAUAGUAUUAGUACAGGCUUUCUAUAUUCUGAAUUCAAAAAUCUGCUACGGUCAGCCCUUUUUUUUUGCUUUUUUGGGGGGCUUUUCAUCCUUUCAAGGACAGGGGCCAAUUAGAUUGUUCAACACUUCUCUGGAAAAGAAAAAAAAAUUUCAGUCCUUAUGCCUAAAUGAGAAACCAUUAUUUUAUUAUUUUUAUUAUCACUAUGAUUAUUGUUGUUGUUGUUUUUAAGGUAGCUACGCAGGCAGAAUCAAUUAGAGCAUUGGAAAAACUAUGCUUUGCAGUGUUUCUUUCUGGAUCAUUAUGUUCUGAGUUCAAAUCCUUUGCCUUUCAUCCUUUUGGGGCAGGAGGUGAUGGGGGGGGGUCGAUAAAAUGACAUGCUAAGAACUGGAGGGUGGCAUGUAAAUGACUUGCCCAUUCCCCUCAAAAGCUGUUGACCGUAUACCAAAACUUGAAGCCAUUAUUAUUAUUAUUAUUAUUAUUAUUAUUUAUUAUUAUUAUCAUCAUCAAUAUUAUUAUUAUUAUUAUUAUUAUUAUUAUUAGUUGUAAUUCCUUUUGCAAACUAAAGUUCCAUGAUGAAAAAUGUUUUAUUUUGUGUUGUUUUUGCUUUUCCUUGUCCCAUCCUAUAAAAUCCUUGACCAAAAAAAAUAUUCCAUGCCCCUCCUCCACAACACCCUUCCAUCCACUGUCCCCCACCCCUACUAUCUUUAUUUUUUUUUCCAAUCAAUCAAUCAAUCAAUCAGAUGUACAUUAUUUUGUCUUUUGUUUUUGUUCUUUUAUAUAUAAAUUUCAUGAAUAAAUUUGUUGAAAAUA